GACGAACGCUGGCGGCGUGCCUAAUACAUGCAAGUCGAGCGAAGUUUUUCUGGUGCUUGCACUAGAAAAACUUAGCGGCGAACGGGUGAGUAACACGUAAAGAACCUGCCUCAUAGACUGGGACAACUAUUGGAAACGAUAGCUAAUACCGGAUAACAGUAUUUCUCGCAUGAGAGAUAUUUAAAAGUUGGUUAUGCUAACACUAUGAGAUGGCUUUGCGGUGCAUUAGCUAGUUGGUGGGGUAAAGGCCCACCAAGGCGACGAUGCAUAGCCGACCUGAGAGGGUGAUCGGCCACACUGGGGCUGAGACACGGCCCAGACUCCUACGGGAGGCAGCAGUAGGGAAUCUUCCGCAAUGGGCGAAAGCCUGACGGAGCAACGCCGCGUGAGUGAAGAAGGAUUUCGGUUCGUAAAGCUCUGUUGUUAGGGAAGAAUGGAUAUGUAGUAACUAUACAUGUAAGAGACGGUACCUAACCAGAAAGCCACGGCUAACUACGUG
rnacentral:rRNA from 1 species